UUAAGUUCAGCGGGUAUUCCUACCUGAUCCGAGGUCAACUUUCAGAAGUGGGGUGUUUAACGGCAUGGCCACCGCCGCGUUCCAACUGCGAGGUUGUGCUACUACGCAGAGGAGGACUACAGCGAGACCGCCACUAGAUUUCGGGGCCGGCGGCCUUACAGGAAGGCUGGGCCGAUCCCCAACACCAGGCACUGGGGGCC
rnacentral:misc_RNA from 1 species